ACUUGGCUAGCUCAGUUGGUAGAGCAGGAGACUCUUGAUCUCAGGGUCAUGAGUUCAAACCCUAUGUUGGGCA
rnacentral:tRNA from 1 species